GUAGGUGGCAAGCGUUGUCCGGAAUUAUUGGGCGUAAAGCGCGCGCAGGCGGUUCUUUAAGUCUGAUGUGAAAGCCCACGGCUCAACCGUGGAGGGUCAUUGGAAACUGGAGAACUUGAGUACAGAAGAGGAAAGCGGAAUUCCACGUGUAGCGGUGAAAUGCGUAGAGAUGUGGAGGAACACCAGUGGCGAAGGCGGCUUUCUGGUCUGUAACUGACGCUGAGGCGCGAAAGCGUGGGGAGCAAACAGGAUUAGAUACCCUGGUAGUCCGCGCCGUAAACGAUGAGUGCUAAGUGUUAGGGGGUUUCCGCCCCCCUUAGUGCUGCAGCUAACGCAUUAAGCACUCCGCCUGGGAGUACGGCCGCAAGGCUG
rnacentral:rRNA from 1 species